AUCCCUGACCCCCACGCCAUCUCCUCACGGCCGCCAUCCCCCCAACCCCCACCAUUCCCGCGCCCCGCCGGCAUUCCCCGCACCGUCAGUGUCCCCGUGCUGUACCCGGACCUGCGGCGGGAGGUCAGGGUUGGCGAGGGCUGCUGCGCCCGGGGAGCGGGACCGCCUUGUGAGGGGGAAAAAUGAACCCUUGGCAGGUGUUUGCGUAGGAGACUUCGGUGUGAGCAGUGAACGCCUGGAAAAGGCGUGAGGGAUCGAUGGCAGGGGAUUCUGAGGGGAUACCUGAGGCAGCCGGUGCCGUGCUCUGCAGCCGCCCCGAUGCCGUGGUGCCGGCACUGCCAGGGUACACGUGGUGAAUAGUGCCCUGCAUUGUACGUGCUCGAGUGAUCACGAAAAUGCCAUCACCUCCUUCGAAAUUUUUAAACUGUGUAGAUUAAGAGCAGGAAUAAUUUCAGAUGACAAGUGUAAAGAACACUCACUGUGACUAGAAUGCAGCCUUUGGACCCCACGGAUGGGGUGGGGAAAAAAUCCAGUCCAUUUUCUCUGAUGCUACUGGACUGAGCACUUCUGCCAUAGGAUUUGCCAGUUAUUGUUGACAGUUCCCUGCCAGCCUCCUGUGGCCCCUUGGCUCUGCGGAUCGUGGGGCAGGCAGAAUGAAGGAAAGAGUGGUCAUCUCCUGUCACCCAUCCCUGUCCUAAUAACAGAUGUCCCCAAGUCAGCAGAAAACAGAGGAAGGAGAAAGCUUCUCAUGGAAACGGGCUUUUUUGUGGACAUUAUGACUGAAAUACUAAUGCUGGUGAGGAGCACCAUGGUCAGCACACAAGAUAGGAGACCAGCAGACCUUUCCCCAGGACAGGCGAGAGCAGAACCCCCUCACCCGAGGAGCCCCAGCUGCUGAGCUAUUACAAGGACUAAGCGGUGUAUUCGAGCAAGAUGGAUCCCGUCCCAAAGCUUUGCAUGUAAAAACACACACUUUGAAUUUCACAGGAGCCAAAGCUGCCUGCCAGGAACACUAGGAGGAACACACUCAGCCAGUGGGUGUUCUGUGCUCACACAGGGAAGCUCCCUUUUGAUCUCUGGGUUUAGUCUUAUGGACUGUUCUCUGCAGAAACCCAAACUCCAGGUGACAGAAGCACAGUAAGGCCCACCUCCAGGGGAAAAAAUAAAAGAACAAAAAGUAUCCA
rnacentral:lncRNA from 1 species